rnacentral:rRNA from 1 species
UCGAGAAUCUUCGGCAAUGGGCGCAAGCCUGACCGAGCGACGCCGCGUGCGGGACGAAGGCCGUUGUGUUGUAAACCGCUGUCAGGGGGGAGGAAAUGUCGGCCCUCAGGGUCGGCUUGACCUAUCCCCAGAGGAAGGACGGGCUAAGUCCGUGCCAGCAGCCGCGGUAAGACGGACCGUCCGAACGUUACUCGGAAUUACUGGGCUUAAAGGGUGCGUAGGCGGCUUUGCAAGUCGGGUGUGAAAGCCCUCGGCUCAACCGAGGAACUGCACUCGAUACUGCGAGGCUCGAGGAAGAUAGAGGUGAGCGGAACUUGCGGUGGAGCGGUGAAAUGCGUUGAUAUCGCAAGGAACACCGGAGGCGAAAGCGGCUCACUGGGUCUUUCCUGACGCUGAGGCACGAAAGCUAGGGGAGCGAACGGG